UCUAAGAUUGGUUGUUGCUUCUUUUCUGUUUCCAGGUAUUUUUGUGGCAUUGGCAUUACGGUUUGAUGUUUCCAGAGGCAAAGACAGCCAGUAUUUUAAGAGUGCAUUUUUUGGCUAUGCAUUCGGCGUUGUCCUUACUAUUGUUGUUAUGAAUUGGUUCCAAGCUGCACAGCCUGCACUUUUGUAUAUUGUACCGGCUGUUAUAGGCUUUUUGGCCGCUCAUUGCCUAUUGAAUGGAGACGUUAAACCGUUAAUGGAGUUUGAUGAGUCCAAGACUUCAAUUUCAUCUCAAGAUGGUAGCGAGAAAACAUCAGACGAGAAAACAUCAGACAAGAAAACAGAGUGAUUGAAAACAAAGUCAGAAAAAGAAUAGGCUGGCAUACUGAAUCUAUUUGUUAAACUUACCUUUUCAAACACCAAUCUAUUUAGCUGAAGCAGAAACUGUUGUUUUAAAUGUGGAGCCAGAAAUUUCUUUUCUUUUUUUUUUUUUUUUCUCUUUUUGGUUUUCUGGAUUACAACAUUGGCUCACUCAAGGCAAGUGCAAACUCAUGCACCAUUGUAACAGAUUUUUUGAAUUUAGCAAGGAAUAUUAUUUAGCCUCCCCCUUAUAAUGAGAUUGUGUUAGACA